GGGCUUCUGCUCUUCCCGCGUAUGGCCAAAUUUCCACUGGCCUAUAAGUUUUCCGAGGGCGCUGGCUCUGUCGUGACCCUGGUCACGUUACCCGGUGCCCACCUGAUAUAUCAGGCUUUCGGGAAAUCUGUCGCCGUCGCGGUCGCUGCGGUUCCCGC
rnacentral:sRNA from 1 species